AAGGGGGUGGUGGUGGGCAUAGAUUGUUAGAUAUAUGUAUUGUCUGUGGCUAUUAUUUACAACUACAAAAGGCAGAAGAGUCAGACUCACAAGCAAAAUGGUUAAUACUUAUCUUAGGAACACUGAAGAACGUUUGGUUUAUUGAUGCAGAUCAUCCAGCAAGUAGAGCUUUGUUAGUCUUGUUUUUGUCUUUUGCAGAUUAGACUGGGGCCUGUGGAGAAAUGGGACUCGCACCUCAGCAUGACUGGAAACUGAUGGUCUGGGCUGCGUUUCCCAAACAACGAAGUAACUCACGGCUAAACUAUAAAAGUCUGAUGCAUCGUUUGAGAAAAGAAUGAUGUAGUGACGAGUGUUUCCCAAAACCUGUAGUUUCUCUGUCGCAGCUCCAUCGCUUAAACCAGUUGAGGGGGGCUCGUGGCCCAGUAGAGCUUUACCCCUGAGACUAACAAGGGGAACAGUGGAGAUAAACUGGAAGACCUGGAGCUCGGCAAAGAGGUAGAACUGCUUGAACAGACUGAAAAAUGGAGUUAGUUUCCAAAGAAAUUUAUUGAGAUUAAUUAUAGACCUGAUAUCUUUCUCUUUGGCAGAUUUGUACGGAGCAUGUGGAAGAACAGGGAAACACACCUCAGUAAUCACAAGUGCAUCAUAAUAAAUUAGAGUGAUAGUCGGGUAUUUUCUUUGGAUGGACGGACGGACGAACGGAUAGAUAGUAUUGAACAAGCAGGCAACAGAUGCUCUAACUCAGGGGUGUCCAAACUCGGUCCUGGAGGGCCGGUGUCCUGCAGAUUUUAGCUCCAACUUGCCUCAACACACCUGCAAAGAUGUUUCUAGAAAGCCUGGUAAGAG